AUGGAUGUUCAUGGGGUAUUUGACAUGUCACAAGCUCAAGGGGCGCACAUACAAGAAAGCUUUCUGCCUAACUCACUUAGCUCUGUUCAAAUGAAAGAGGCAUCUUCUGAGAAGAAACGGCGUCGCAUGAGAGAACAAUAUGAUCAAAUGACGCCGGAAGAAAGAGAAGUUGUCUUGCAGAGGAAACGUGUGCAUAAGAUGGGAAAACGCCAUGCAUCAUCUGAACAGUCCUACAUUGCUGAGCCAACAGGUGGAUCUGCAGUCCCCUCACCAAUUACACAUGCCAUUGAUCUUACAUGUUGCCACGGCAAUGGUGAAGAGUCCUAUGAUGCUGGAAUAUUAGAGCCUAUGGAGCCCCCCGCCGAAGUGGACGAAUUCUUGCACGACACACAGGAUGGGCAACCGGUGUAUGAUGAUGAUGAUGAAUGCAGGAUAUUUACUGGACAAGGUGAUGAGUUUGAAUCAUACAGAAUGACACCUAAUGUUUCACAUCAUGCUUUUGCGGCUGAUGAUCCUUAUGACUAUGUCUACAAGAAUCUACCAACU
rnacentral:rRNA from 1 species